rnacentral:rRNA from 1 species
UACGUAGGGGGCGAGCGUUGUUCGGAUUUACUGGGCGUAAAGGGCGCGUAGGCGGUCAGCACAAGUCAGUUGUGAAAUCUCCGGGCUUAACUCGGAACGGUCAACUGAUACUGCGCGGCUAGAGUGCAGAAGGGGCAACUGGAAUUCUCGGUGUAGCGGUGAAAUGCGCAGAUAUCAGGAGGAACACCGGUGGCGAAGGCGGGUCUCUGGGCCGAUACUGACGCUGAGGAGCGAAAGCGUGGGGGAGCGAACAGG